rnacentral:rRNA from 1 species
AUACGUAGGUGGCAAGCGUUACUCGGAAUCACUGGGCAUAAAGCGCGCGUAGGCGGCCUUGUUAGUCGGGUGUGAAAUCCCGCAGCUCAACUGCGGAACUGCGCCCGAUACUGCGAGGCUUGAGGCCGGUAGGGGAGAGUGGAAUUCCCGGUGGAGCGGUGAAAUGCGUUGAUAUCGGGAGGAACGCCGGUGGCGAAAGCGACUCUCUGGUCCGGUCCUGACGCUGAGGUGCGAAAGCUAGGGGAGCAAACGGGAUUAGAAACCCCAGUAGUCC